rfam:Beauveria bassiana D1-5 contig00239, whole genome shotgun sequence.
ACUAAUUAGAAACACAGGGGCCGGAAAAAUCCGCCCUCCCGAUUGACGAACUGAAGCCAGGACAGACUAUGCGUUGGUGGGUCGUUCCCCCACCGGCGUGAAGGUGCCAAAAAACGCAGGCAAAGAUCUGCUUCAAGGCACCGGCUUCUCAUCAAUCUUCGAGGGUAGCCUGCGCUACCCUCUUUUUUUUAUCUC